rnacentral:lncRNA from 1 species
AAAAUAAAUAGAAGUAUACUAGAGUAUCUUUAAUCUCAUUUCAUUUCAAAACAGAAUUUGGAAUAAGAAAUAUUCUAAAAUCUAUUUUAUUUUUAGCUUAAGUAUGAGUACACUGCUUAAAUAGAAUAAUAUUUUUUUGGUCACUAUUUAAUUUUCAACAUCAAAAUAAAAUGUAAUUAAAAUAAAACCAGUUUCAUUAUAUAAUUAUUCUAUUUUAGAAGAAAAAUAGAAUUUUAAAUCGAAAAUGCUCUUACACAAUAUUUUGCUCUAUAAUUUUAAAAUAAAAAAGUAGAUUGUAAUAAAUGCUCUAUAUCUUCUUUUACUUUUUUUUAUAGAAGGCACAAAUUAUAACGAAAGCUACCUUAAAAUAAACACAAAUAUAUAUAAUAGGGACAACAAUAUGUCCAUUCAUCAC